rnacentral:rRNA from 1 species
CCUACGGGAGGCAGCAGUAGGGAAUCUUCCACAAUGGGCGAAAGCCUGAUGGAGCAACGCCGCGUGUGUGAUGAAGGGUUUCGGCUCGUAAAACACUGUUGUAAGAGAAGAAUGACAUUGAGAGUAACUGUUCAAUGUGUGACGGUAUCUUACCAGAAAGGAACGGCUAAAUACGUGCCAGCA